rnacentral:rRNA from 1 species
GAUCCUGGCUCAGGAUGAACGCUGGCGGCGUGCCUAACACAUGCAAGUCGAGCGAGAAAUCAUAAAAUGAAACUUCGGUAGAUUUUUAAGAUGGAAAGCGGCGGACGGGUGAGUAACGCGUAGGCAACCUACCUUAUGCAGAGGGAUAGCCAUUGGAAACGAUGAUUAAAACCUCAUAACGCCGGAGAGUCACAUGGUUUUCCGGCCAAAGAUUUAUCGGCAUAAGAUGGGCCUGCGUCUGAUUAG